rnacentral:rRNA from 1 species
GGUUAAGUUAAUAAGGGCGCACGGUGGAUGCCUUGGCACUAGAAGCCGAUGAAGGACGUGACUAACGACGAAAUGCUUUGGGGAGCUGUAAGUGAGCAAAGAUCCAGAGAUG